rnacentral:piRNA from 1 species
UGUUUUCACUGUUUCAGAAAA